UCUGAAAAAACACACACGUAUCAAUAGAAAUUGGUUAAUUAUUAAAAUAUAUAUUGUAGUUGUUGUUGUUGUUGUUGUUGUUGUUGUAGCAGUGUGUUGUACACCGAGACGGUACGUACCACCGGCUGCCAUGGGUUAUUGCAGUAAUCAUGAAUUGUUAUGUACGGGAAAUCAUAUCAUAUCACUAUUUUGGAUGCAUCCCCCUUUUUUUAUAUCGCUUGGAACAACAUUCAUUGGUAUUUAUUGUCGUUAUUUCAUUUCAUUUCAUUUAGUACAAAGCCAUCAGCUAUGUAAAUGUAAAUAGUAGAUAAAACUACUCAAUAAUGAACAGAUGCGACUUAAAACUAACUAAAAAAAUAAAUUAGAGACAUAAAAUAAACUAGAAAAAAAUGCAUUCAAAAAAAUGAGCAUUGCUAGGCAAUCACUACUCAAAAAACAAAACAAACCAUAUGACUUAAAAAAAUAAUAAUAAAAUUGCACCCGAAUUGCACAAUCAAGACGGAAAACAAUAUUGAAAAACCAUUCAAUAAAAAAUAAAGGGUGAUUUUUUAGCUAUUAUCUUUUUGGCAACACUGCUUUAAACCGCUCACACACGUUUCGUGUUUUGUUUCACUGUCCAGCAUCUUCAGUUUGGUCUAUAAUUUAAUCAUGAAUCAUCUUACAAACGAACAACGCUUGCACAUUAUUGAAUUUUAUUAUCACAAUGCGUGCUCUGUUAGGAAAGUUCAUCGGGCGCUUCUUCCAUUCCAACCAAGAAUCUCAUUUUUGGCUCAAUGGCUACGUAAAUAAGCAGAAUUGUCGAUUUUGGAGUGAAGAUCAGCCAGAAGCAUUGCAAGAGAUACCGAUACAUCCAGAAAGUCACAGUUUGGUGCGGUUUAGGGGUGGUGGCAUCAUUGGACCGUACUUCUUCAAAGAUGAUGCAACGUAACUGGCAAUGGGGAGCGCAACCGUGAGAUGAUAUCCAACUUUUUUUUGUCCAAAAUGCAAGAGCUUGACUUGCAUGACAUGUGGUUUCAACAAGACGGUGCCACAUGUCAUACAGCACGCGUAGCAAUGGACUUAUUGAGAGGUGAACAUUUUAUUUCACGUUCGGGACCAGUCAAUUGGUCGCCUACAACAGACAACAUUGAAGCAUUUAUGCCGACCUAAAUGUUGGAAAGAGUAUGUCAAAAUUGGACUAAGCGGACCAUUAUAUGAAUGCAUGAAAUAACAUUAAAUUCUAUGGACCGUACUAUCGAUUCAAGUAUCACCCUUUUAAAUAAAAAAAUAAAUUAGCUAAAGAAAACAUAAAAAAAUAACACUAUAAAAACUACACACUAUAAAAACUACAGUCGAACAUCUCUAUAACAAAUUGCCCUAUAACGAAUUAACAUUAAAAACACGACUCUUUUCAGCCAUUUUCACCUAUUUUAACCUCCCUAUAACGAAGUUUUCUAUAACGAAUACUUCUCUGUAACGAAUAGUUUUUAAAGCAAAAUUGCAAAUUUUGCCCAUAAUCAUUCCACUAAGGAACAGGGCCAAACUUCUCAUAUAUCAAUGAGUGCAGUCCGAUUCAAGCUUAAGCUCAAUGAUAAGGGGCCUCCAUUUUAUAGCCGAGUCCGAACGGCGUGCCGCAGUGCGACACCUCUUUGGAGAGAAGUUUUACAUGGCAUAUUACCUCACAAAUGUUGCCAGCAUUAGGAAGGGAAAGCAACCCUGAAAAUUUUUUCUGAUGGUUUCGGCAGGAUUCGAACCUAGGCGUUUAGCGUCAUAGGCGGACUUGCUAACCUUUGCGCUACGGUGGCAAGAUGAAAUUCUCGCACAAACUUAACUCUCUAUAUCAAUUUUUUGCAAACUUUUGGUCAGUUUCUCUAUAACGUAGUAUUUCGUCGGUCCCUUACUGCUACGUUAUAGAGAAAUUGACUAACCUUUGGUUUAAUUUGACCUAAGUGCAAAAAUAAGCAAACGCACAGUGGGAAUUCGAAAAAAAAAGUAAAAAAUCUGCCAAUUGAGAACGGGUGGAGAAAACUCUUUAAAAUUUUGAAUGGUUAUAGCUGAGGUGUUAGCGAGAUUAUGCACAGAAUUUGAAGGCCCUAGCUGGUGCGGGCACCUCUUGGCAAGUGCCUUAAUCAAAUCUUCAUGUGUGAUCCGAUUUUCAAAUGUUAAAUUUUCUAAAAAUUUUUAAUUUUUCUAAUAAAACUGUUACUUAAAAACAAAAAAUAAAAGCUACAUGAAUACCCAAAUACCCAUUUUGGGCAAAGAUGGUUUCAAAAUCGUCAUUCUUUAGUAAAUUAACUGUGGAGGAGGCUACAAAUAUUGUUUGGUGCAAAAAAUUGUUAGGAAUCCUGUCUCGGGCACAAAUCAAAAAAAAAAAUAAAAGUUUUUCUUAAGGAUUUUUGAGCACUUUUCAGCAAAAAUUUUGGAAAUCGGACCACAAAUAAAUAUUUUACAGCCCGAAAAUUUUUUCCAAAUGCUAAGGUGACCAAAUUUAGUGGCCUGCUGAGAGGCGCCCUGGCGAAUGACGGCCUUGAAUUUUUGUACAUAAUCCCGUUAACUUUCUACCCGUUCUCAAACGGCUUAUUUGUUGUACUAAUUUGUCUAUUCUUACCUACUGUGAAGCAUCUCAGGCUUGCGUUCUGUAAAUUGCGGAUAUUUGAGAGUGUUCUAACCGAUAUUCUUUCUUUUUUUAGAGCCUUCAUCAACAUUGGCUAUAAUAUGACAAAUUUCUUCAAUAGAUACACCUUUACGUUUUGCCUUUUUUUGUCUGUCGUCCGAUCACUACACAACGAGAGAGAGCAAAUUUUGACAGUUAGAAAAAUUGCAAAUUUCUACUGGGACUUUUUUCGGUAGCAGAAAUUUGCAACUUUGAACAGAUGUUUUGUAAAAGUCAGCUGUUUUAUGAGAAGCACCCGUUACAUGAAAAUACAAAAGCUAACGGCAAAAUGGAUCAAAAAGGCAGAGAUUCAUGGCAGCAGCUUGUGUUCAGUUACAGAAAAUUCGACAAAUGAAGUUGUAAUUUUACCUCAAGUCGGUUGUUCUACAAUACAUUAGAAGAAAAGAGCAAUUAUCGGUUUUUAAGUGUUUUGAUGGAACCAUCCUUAUCGGAGAGCUACGAUGAAACCGCCACCGCUCCUUUGAAUUUGUUAAGGACGGAAGUUGCUGCCAUGGGAUUGAGUGGGUCUAGCUGGGCAGUUAAACAAGUGACGCACAGUGGGAUUAGAAAAAAUUAGUGCAAUUAGUGCAUUUAUCUAGUCACAAAAUCCAAAAGCAUUAGAUGGUUGUAGAUGGUCAGCACAACAAGUGUACUUUUGUAUACGGUGAUGGCAUGUAAAACUUCGAAACGAGAGGAGGGGGAGUAGUAGUCCCUCAUGCGUCUUGGCUACUGAUGAGAAAAGGGAGAUCGUUCUGUACGACUCCUCUUUGCUCUUGUCCUCUUCAGGUUUCAGUAGCGGGAUCAGACUACCCAUCUUCCAAACAUUGGGUACUAUAAUAGUGUUCAGAUAGGCUGACGAGAGUGGUAAAGUAAUCGACUCAAGGCAGAACCAGAUUCUUCAGCACCAGUGUAGAAAUUAUGUCUGGAACCAGCGCUUUGCUCGAUUUGGUGCCACGGAUAAUGCACGGUUGCUGUUGUUGUAGCAGUGUGUUGUAUACUGAAAGACUCCAUCGGGCGAAUGCAGCACGUACAACCGGCUACCAUGGGAUUGCACGGUAAUUUGCGAUGGCUGUCUAGCGGCACGGAGAUCACGGAUAUACAAAUGGCUCCCCUUCUAGCCUUUCACUCUCGAGUCAAUAAAUUGACGUUUAUUUAAGGAAAAUACCUCGCAAGUAUCGCCAGCAUUUUUUAUUUAAAAAAUUGUUUUCCAAGCAAGCAAAUAAAAAACAAA